UGAUAACGCGUGAGAACCUACCUUCAGAAUGGGGACAACAGUUGGAAACGACUGCUAAUACCCAAUGUGCCGAAAGGUGAAAGAUUUAUCGUCUGAAGAUGGGCUCGCGUCUGAUUAGCUAGAUGGUGGGGUAAGAGCCUACCAUGGCAACGAUCAGUAGCUGGUCUGAGAGGAUGAGCAGCCACACUGGGACUGAGACACGGCCCAGACUCCUACGGGAGGCAGCAGUGGGGAAUUUUCCGCAAUGGGCGAAAGCCUGACGGAGCAAUACCGCGUGAGGGAGGAAGGUCCUUGGAUUGUAAACCUCUUUUAUCAGGGAAGAAGUUCUGACGGUACCUGAUGAAUAAGCAUCGGCUAACUCCGUGCCAGCAGCCGCGGUAAUACGGAGGAUGCAAGCGUUAUCCGGAAUUAUUGGGCGUAAAGCGUCCGUAGGUGGUUAUGCAAGUCUGCCGUUAAAGAAUGGAGCUUAACUCCAUAGGAGCGGUGGAAACUGCAAGACUAGAGUACAGUAGGGGUAGCAGGAAUUCCCAGUGUAGCGGUGAAAUGCGUAGAUAUUGGGAAGAACAUCGGUGGCGAAAGCGUGCUACUGGCUGAAACUGACA
rnacentral:rRNA from 1 species